rnacentral:lncRNA from 1 species
AUUUAUCUCAAAGAUAUGCAUAAGAAUUCAUAGUAUCACUAGAGAUUGUAUCUUAAUUUUUGAUAACCAUCCAGCUUAUGCUCAAGAUAUAUCAUCUUCAAGGAUCUAAAAAAAUACUUAUAAUUGGACCACUACUUUCCAUAUUACUUACAUCAUAAUCUCUAGCAAUCAUAACCCAAAUUCUCAUACCACUUAAAUCAUAAUCCCAACUGAUCAUAAACCUAGGCUUUGAUACCAAACAUACAGCACCCCACCCCCUG